GUGACAAGGGUGCUUGGUGGAAAUUGCACCCACACUUGGCCCACCCAACCUUGACCCUUAUGUCCAAUAAUCGUUAAAUAUCUUAAGGGCCCCGCAUUCCACUAACACUUACCACGCAAUUUACACCCUAUAUUCCCCCAAGAGUUUACAAAUUAGCACAUCAUAUCGACUGUUAACACUUAUACAUAUAAAUAAUUUAUUGACAUAUUUUAAUUUGUCUUAAUCCUAACAAUAAAACAAGUUUGCACAAUAUUGACUUUUAAAUUCCUAACACCUGAUAUUAUCUUUUUUAUAUGAGCCAAUCGCUCGGGCCGCUACAGUCUACGAAGAGUACAUAAAAAUUUUUGCCAAUUUGGCCACUUUUUGCAUCUACUCCCUCCCUAAUAGAGCUCUGUUAAGGGGAUAUUACGGACGUUACCUUAUGUCCAAAAUUGCCAAUAAACCAGAAUUCUCCCUUCGUACGACGGUCUAACCCUACGCUCAGGUAUAUAACCGGGCGUUAGAAAUUUUCACAAUAUAAAAAUCUUAACCUAAAUUCUAUACACUAAGGACAAUCACACUUAAACUACAGACAAUUACAUUAAAUUAAACUAGUCAGUACAAAAUUUUGGUGUCAUUCCAUUUUUCAUUCAAAUUAAUUAUUAAUCCAAGUUCUCUUCUUUUUUUCCAGGCCGCAGGAGGAAGAUAUAUAUAUAUAUGUAUGCCGCUUGGCCGCACCAACCGUUCAGGACUCGAUAUUGAUGAUCUUUUUGACCUUUUCGGCAUCAGACCUACCGAGCCGACCACUGUUUGAAUACCGGUACUUUGGCGGACCGGGGCUUAGCCUCACUCACGGACUUUCUGGGCAGCAGCGCUUCUCUUUAUAUAAAAAAUUUACUGACCUCCUCCACCGAAAACUUGGAGGGGUCAGAUAUCUAGCCGUCUUUUGUUGGGGUGUUAUGAAAUUUUGGUCACACACACACAUACACAACAAUCGGCAAAUAAAAAUAAAAAAAAUCACGAAAACUUUAAUUCCACUAACUUGGUGUUUUUAUGGGAUCACUUUUUUAAAUUUUAGCUUAGAAAAAUUUUUCCUUGCCCGUUUACCAAAACUUUAAUGGCGAAUUUUUCUGUCCGUUACCCCUUUUAUAUGGCAGCCAUUGGACGCAAUCUUCCCACUUUUCCUUUUUUUUUUGUUCUCUCUUGUUUAUCCUCUUUCUCUUUGAUCGCACUUGGCGAGCCCUAUCGUUACCCAUGGUUGCAUAUGAUCUUAGUACCAUGUACUAAGAGGAACAUUGGCAGCACCUUGACACCCAACCGUAUCCGGUUCAUUCAUUUUUUUAAGAUCGGCUGGAGCGGUAAUUACAAGUGUAAAUCCUCGCUCAGCCGAUAAUACAAAAAAUUAAUCUUCAGCAAUCGCGGUACGCACGCAACAAAACUUCGCCAUUUUCACACAAAAAGUGAGAAAAUGGUGAUGUGCGUUACUGGAUUGUAACAUUUUCCUGCAAAGCAUCAGGAUAAAAUAAUCAAUUAAAAAAAAGAAAAAUAGAUUUUGAUCCCCACAAAAAAAAACACGCUGCUGUGCUCCCACAUUGACUUGGAUAUAUUGAAAAAAUAUCGGUACAUAUUUCCACAAUGAAUGGCCAUGUGGGGUGGCUCAGCCUACAAGGUAAGUGUGAAUGUGUGUACAUUUACGCAUCGCCAUUGACAAGAAUGCCGGUCACACAUACUUGUGCUUGCUACAACUACAACGGUUUGGUGCCGCUUUGACGAGCAGAACGUCGCCGUCGCCGCUGGUUUGAAACAAACUCAACAACGUUAAAUGUAUGAACGUCAUCUUCAUACCAUUUGUAUGAAGAUUGAGAAACAGGUAAAUUCAACAUUCGCGUAUGUGAAGUACCAUUUGAGAAUAUUUGUAUUUUGGCGCACGACGACAAUAUGAAAUAAUCGCUAUUCAAUUUACAAUGUACAAUCUGUCUCAGUCAGUGGCGGCGUUAAUAGAGGAAUGCUCUUCGGUGUUGUGUUCCCCAGUAUUUUUUUCCCAAUUGAAUGCUACGAAAGUGCUACAAUGAAUCUGCCAGCAUGAAGGAAUAGUUUUUCGUGACCUCAUCGACUUUUUUACAUCACCACACAACAACGUUCCCCUGUGGAUCAUAAACCUUCAGGCCGCAGGAGGAAGAUAUAUAUAUAUAUGUAUGCCGCUUGGCCGCACCAACCGUUCAGGACUCGAUAUUGAUGAUCUUUUUGACCUUUUCGGCAUCAGACCUACCGAGCCGACCACUGUUUGAAUACCGGUACUUUGGCGGACCGGGGCUUAGCCUCACUCACGGACUUUCUGGGCAGCAGCGCUUAUCUUUAUAUAAAAAAUUUACUGACCUCCUCCACCGAAAACUUGGAGGGGUCAGAUAUCUAGCCGUCUUUUGUUGGGGUGUUAUGAAAUUUUGGUCACACACACACAUACACAACAAUCGGCAAAUAAAAAUAAAAAAAUCACGAAAACUUUAAUUCCACUAACUUGGUGUUUUUAUGGGAUCACUUUUUUAAAUUUUAGCUUAGAAAAAUUUUUCCUUGCCCGUUUACCAAAACU